CUUCAAUUUUGACAAUAUUUAAUAUGCCUCUUUGUUCAGUCCAAAGAAAAUCGUUUACGAGAUUUGUUGGAAGCUAAAGCACUGGCCCUAGCACAGGCUGACCGUUUGAUUGCCCAGUAUCGUUAUCAAAGAGCCCAUGCAGAGGCAGAGGCACGACAAUUAGCCUCACUUCUGAUGGAAGAAGAGAG